AUACUUUUAGUAUAAAUGCCAGGAGAGAAGUCACGAUCACAGAGGUAGUUCUCCCAGGACCAGUGUUAUCCAUUACCCUUCAGAUGUACUGACCUCUGAUAUGUCCCCAAAGGUGGGAAGCUUGACUGCGAAGUUUCUGAUAGUGAGGGGCUGCCUUCACACUCUCCCCUG
ensembl:snRNA Gm23850 predicted gene, 23850